UGAGUUUGAUCCUGGCUCAGGAUUAACGCUGGCGGCGUGCCUAAUACAUGCAAGUCGAACGGAAGUACCUUCGGGUACUUUAGUGGCGAACGGGUGAGUAAUACAUAGGUAACCUACCCUUAAGACGAGGAUAGCCAUUGGAAACGAUGGAUAAAACUGGAUAGGAUAUAGAGGAAGAAUCUUUUAUAUUUAAAAGAGAGAUCUGCUUAAGGAGGGGCCUGUGGCGCAUUAGCUAGUUGGUGGGGUAAGGGCCUACCAAGGCGAUGAUGCGUAGCCGGACUGAGAGGUUGAACGGCCACAAUGGAACUGAGAACGGUCCAUACUCCUACGGGAGGCAGCAGUAGGGAAUUUUCGGCAAUGGGGGGAACCCUGACCGAGCAAUGCCGCGUGAACGAAGAAGUUAUUCGUAAUGUAAAGUUCUUUUAUCAGGGAAGAAAGAGGAAUUUGACGGUACCUGAGGAAUAAGCUCCGGCUAACUACGUGCCAGCAGCCGCGGUAAUACGUAGGGAGCGAGCGUUAUCCGGAAUUAUUGGGCGUAAAGGGUGCGUAGAUGGCAUAGUAAGUCUUUUGUAAAAAUGCUGGGCUCAACCCAGUAGGGCAAAAGAUACUGCAAAGCUAGAGUAUGACAGAGGCAAGUGGAACUACAUGUGUAGCGGUAAAAUGCGUAAAUAUAUGUAAGAACACCAGUGGCGAAGGCGGCUUGCUGGGUCGAUACUGACAUUGAGGCACGAAAGCGUGGGGAGCAAACAGGAUUAGAUACCCUGGUAGUCCACGCCCUAAACGAUGAGUACCAAGUGUUGGUGAGAAUCAGUGCUGAAGUUAACGCAUUAAGUACUCCGCCUGAGUAGUACGUACGCAAGUAUGAAACUUAAAGGAAUUGACGGGAGCCCGCACAAGCGGUGGAGCAUGUUGUUUAAUUCGACGAUACGCGAAGAACCUUACCAGGUCUUGACAUAGCACGCGAAGGCGUAGAGAUACGUUGGAGGAUAGCGUGCAUACAGGUGGUGCAUGGUUGUCGUCAGCUCGUGUCGUGAGAUGUUGGGUUAAGUCCCGCAACGAGCGCAACCCUUAUUUCUAGUUACCAGCAGUAAGAUGGGGACUCUAGAGAGACUGCCAUUGAUAAAAUGGAGGAAGGUGGGGAUGACGUCAAAUCAUCAUGCCCUAUAUGACCUGGGCUACAAACGUGCUACAAUGGCUGAAACAAAGAGAAGCGAGCCCGCGAGGGGGAGCGAACCUCAAAAAAGCAGUCUCAGUUCGGAUUGAAGUCUGCAACUCGACUUCAUGAAGAUGGAAUCGCUAGUAAUCGCGAAUCAGAAUGUCGCGGUGAAUACGUUCUCGGGCUUUGUACACACCGCCCGUCAAACCAUGAGAGUUUGUAAUACCCGAAGCCGGUGGCCUAACGAAAGAGGGAGCCGUCUAAGGUAGGACAGAUGAUUGGGGUUAAGUCGUAACAAGGUAACC
rnacentral:rRNA from 1 species